rnacentral:rRNA from 1 species
UACGUAGGGUGCAAGCGUUGUCCGGAAUUAUUGGGCGUAAAGAGCUCGUAGGUGGUUUGUCGCGUUGUUCGUGAAAACUCACAACUCAAUUGUGGGCGUGCGGGCGAUACGGGCAGACUGGAGUACUGCAGGGGAGACUGGAAUUCCUGGUGUAGCGGUGGAAUGCGCAGAUAUCAGGAGGAACACCGGUGGGCGAAGGCGGUUCUCUGGGCAUUACCUGACGCUGAGGAGCGAAAGUGUGGGGAGCGAACAGG